GGGACGAAGCCGAAGCCAUUGAAUUGCGAUCACUUGCAAGAGCUCUUCUAGCGGUCUCCCCAGCACGAG
rnacentral:ribozyme from 1 species